rnacentral:rRNA from 1 species
AGUAAUACAUAAGUAACCUGCCCUAGACAGGGGGAUAACUAUUGGAAACGAUAGCUAAGACCGCAUAGGUACGGACACUGCAUGGUGACCGUAUUAAAAGUGCCUCAAAGCACUGGUAGAGGAUGGACUUAUGGCGCAUUAGCUGGUUGGCGGGGUAACGGCCCACCAAGGCGACGAUGCGUAGCCGACCUGAGAGGGUGACCGGCCACACUGGGACUGAGACACGGCCCAA